GGAUAACAAAGCUUCCCCGACGACGAACACCGAUGUGAGACAUCGGACAGCUUAACAUCUCGCGAUUAGGAGCUCUGGAAUUUCCUGCUAUGUUGCAUGCAUGCUGAGGACUGAUUUGUUUGUCGUCUUCAACAACAUUGACAAAGUGAUGCUUGGUUCUUUGAGGCCAAACCUUACACCUUGUGCAAAUGUAAGUAAGAUGCUUAUGUGAGUACGAUAUGUAAGUAUGAUUUAUUUGUUUCCCGUUUCCAGGAUGGUCCAAGUUUAGGCUUUAGUCUAUAUGAAUAUUAGAGAGGAGCAAAUUAUUUAUUUUGACAAAAAUUUAUCUCCAAACAAUGCAAAAUAGGCUAACAGUGACUUCUAACUUCACUUGAAAUGGAUUGAUGGAGUUACAAUUA